CCAGCAGCACCAUAUAAUGUAUGCAUGUUCAGGUGAGUGCAGCCCUCUUGGUUUCUUCUAUAAUUAAUAAUACAGAUAUGACAUGGAAAUGCAUUUUGCACAACGUGUUCAAUUUUGGAAUGUGUGUAAUGAAAGGUGUUCUUGGCCAUCUGAGAUUUCCAUUUUCAUUCUCAGUUGACUAUUACUGCUCCACCCAAAAUCUCAGCCAUGCUGCUACUUCCACACGAUUAUAAUUUCUACUGGCCAGUCUAAAAUAAUUGAGAAGGUAUUUUUUCCAUCUAUACUGAGACAGUGAUAUUACACACUGUUACAGACACCAUAGAAUGGUGACACCAGGUCCAUGUAGAAUUGCAUUAGACUUGUCAGUAAAAGCAAAAAAUUCAAGAAACCACUGUGGUACUCUGCAGAUGUGGCCAAAAUAGUAAAAAACUAAAAGUUAGCAUUUAGUAAUUAUAAAAAACUCUGAGUGAGGAAGAUAGUCAGAUCUAUAAGAUUAGGCAGAAAGAAGCUAAGCAACUUAAACGAUCUUCCAAAUCACACACAAAGAGAAAAUUGCACAGUCAGUAAAAAAAGGGGACAAGACAUUUUUAGAUACAUAAAUGAGAAGUAAAGUAAAACAAGGAUUAGUUAGAUUAAAAACAAAAGAAAGAAGGUAUGUAGAAGAGGAUAAAGGUCUAGCUGACUGCCUCAAUUAAUAUUUUUGUUCAGUAUUUACAGAUGAAAAUGGAGAGGCGCCUCAGUUAGGGAAAAGGACAAAUGAGUAAUUUGUUACAUGUGAGUUUACAGAGGAAGAGGUUCUAUUUCAGCUGUCAAACGUAAACACAAAUAAGUCAAUGGGACCAGAUGGAAUACACCCAAAGUUAUUAAAAGAGCUUAGUGGUGUACUAGCAAAACCAUUAACAGAUUUAUUUAACCAAGAUCAGAGACAACAUGGGUUUACUUCAGGGAGAUCAUGCCAAACUAAUCUUAUUGAUUUUUUUGAUUGGGUAACUAAAAUAAUAGAUCAGGGUGGUGCAGUAGACAUUGCUUACCCAGAUUUCAGUAAGGCUUUUGACACUGUUGCACAUAGAAGGCUUAUCAAUAAACUGCAAUCUUUAAGUUUGCAUUCCAAUAUUGUAGAAUGGGUAAGGCUCAGGUUGACCAUGAGAACUGAGAAUAAAGCGUGUUUUCUCUACAGUAAGGCAAGCCAUUUCCAAAUGAAUGUGCAGACAAAUUCAAUAACUUGUGUAUACAAGUCUCUACUAGUUAUUAAAUCUUCCAGUGCAUUUCUAUACAGUAAGACAAGCCAUUUCAAAAUUAAUGUACACACAAAUUCAAUAACUUGUGUACACAAGUCUCUACUAGUUAUUAAAUCUUCCAGUGCAUUAACUAGACUAUAUGGCCAUUAAUAUCAAUCUAUGCUAGAACAUGCUUUAAAUGAAUGCUCUGCCCUGAACUUUUUUUCAGAAAUAUAAGACAAAACAAAUCACUGUAGGUGUACUUCUUCAGAAAUAAAAUGGUUUGCUAUCCAUCAUUUAAAGGAUGCCUACAAGAAUAAAAAAAGUCUGCUGUUAUCCCAAGAGGCAUAUUUUUAUAUUAUGAUAGAAUCUCAAUCUACUUUAAUAUAUUAUAAGGUAAAAAUCAGUUCACCUACUGAUUAUACAUAUGUAAUAUAAGUCUAUUUAUACAACCUCUGUAUUUCAAAUAAGCUAGUACUCGCCCUACUCUUUAAAGGUGGCAAAAUCAAUAUUAUCAUGCAUGUUUUUGGAAUUAAGUGAAUUUCAGGAAGUUUCUCCUAUGUGGAACAAUUUAAAUGAUGAGUUAAUUUGCCUGCAAUUACAAUGGCUCAAAGUUUAUCAUUUGUAAAUCAGAAUAUCCUCUGGGAAGGCCAAAAUAUAUUAUUCUGCUACCUUUUGUAAAACUAUACACUUUAGAUUGUUUGCUUAGUGCUAGAAUUAGUCCAUUAGUGACUUUCUAGUAAAAAAAAGGAAGAUGGAGUUAUAAGAAAAAUGUGUUUAUAUAAGUCUGAAUUUGGUGGCCAUACUAGAAAUAAAACAAUCCCAGGAGCUUCUGCCAAACCUUCAAAACUAUCCAAAGGCAAACAUUGACCAUGAACAUUGUUGGACAUUAUAAAAUGUAUGUAGUUUUGUCAAUAGUAUUGUUUGCUUUUUAACAGGCACAACAAAUCCCAGCACUGAUGUGCUUACAUUUAAUUGUGUGACUAAUGGUUCUGAAGAAAUGAUAGUUCACAUCCACCCACUUCCUACAUUAGCCUUCAGGUGGUAUCGGUAACUUUGUUUAGCCAACUUUGGACAGUGGGAGCAGUUGUUCUCUUUGGCUGUAUUUAGGCCAAACUGGUACUAAACAAAUGUACAGUAUGCUUGGAAAUGAAAUAGUCCAGUUAGUUCCACUCUCCACGUCCAACUGUGUCACAGCAACUGUCUGAGUAACCUGUCAUGCCCUUUCUUCCAGACUUAGGUGACUGUUUAUUACAUAUUUUUGGAUGUAAAUGAAGAAAUAA